AAGUGACACACAUGUGGUUUGUGGGGACGCUACAAAGUUUUUGGCAAACAAUAUGGAAAUUAAAGAAUAGAGUUUGUAUCAUCAUGUGAGAAAAUAGUGUCAGAAUAUCAUUAAGUGUCACACUUUGACAAGUUCAUCAGCUGGUAACAAACCUGUUCACAGCUCAGAUCCAGACUCAGAUUUGGUGCCUUUCAGCGUCUCAACAUGUGUUCGAGUCUCUCCAAUAGCCGCCUGAUUCUUCUGCUCUCCCUGAGUGUGAUGAUGCUCAUCUCUGUAUCAGGAGCUGACCACGUGGGAAAUACCUGCUAUAAAACAUAUUCUAACCAAAAUGCAAGAACCACGUUUGCACCUAAAUGGGCCAAAAACAUCAUCAGCUGCGUUGAAGACAACAGACAUGGCUGCCUUCAUGGCUAUGAGGUCAAAAUAAGCAGAGGAAGAACAUUUUUCCUCAGACCAAACACCGAGUGGCUUAAAAGGAAAAUAAAUGAGGGAACUCUGCUGUGUCCUCCAAUGUUUUCUAAAUGAUGAUGAUGGAAACGAUGAAACAAAAGCUGUAGGACACAAGACCCUAGUGUUUUUUGCCCAUUAUUCAUUAUUAAUUCUUUUCUUCUUUUUUUUCUUUUUUCUUCUUCUUUCACCACCACAGGGAACUCUGUUGUGUCCUCCAGUGUUUUCAAAUAAACAUGUAUAAGCUAUUAAUCUUUAAUGAGUCCUCCCACUGUAGUUUGUAUAUUCCAGCUGCACCACAGUGUUUAGAAGCAGUGACUGUCUGUCAUCUUGUCUCGUAGGUUUCUUAAUUCACACAGUGAUUUUCAUAGAUUUAAUCUAAGUAUAGAUGAUGAAAAUGAUGAAACAAAGUUAAAGUAAAGCAGCUGCUGGAAACAUUUCUGCUCAUUUAUUAGUUCACACUUUGACAGAAAUAUUUGUUAAGAAAUGUAAAUUAUUUUUUGCAAAUUAUUCAUAGCACCUUAACAGUCUUGUGUUCACAUAUAUAUAUAUAUACAAUACAAUACAAAACAAUUUUACUAUAUAACAUGUUUAAAGCCAGGGGGUACACCAAAUUGCUUCACAGUAAGGAAUAAAGAGUAAAAUGAUAACACUGAACAGUAAGUCAUUAAAACAAUGUAAAAUAGAGAAACAAACAAAGGCAUUAGUAAGUAGGGAUUGGCAGAAUUCAUGAUAAUCCCGAGAAAUGAGUAAAGAUACGCCAGUUAGUGAUUGGUGAGGAUUAGCAAAUAUACUACAAGUGUCAUUAAAUAUGAAUGUUAUUCUGUCUUCAAGCUGAGAACAAAGAUAAAUCAAUAAAAGCUUCUGAGAUCAGAUUUUUUAAUGGUCUGUGUGAUUAAUUACCAUUUGCUGUAGGUGUUAUAACUGACAACAAAAUACUUAUUGUUGUGAUUAUUUCAUGAUGACGUCAUGAUCACAGGACAUCAGGAGGCAGCAUUUAACCGAUAUGGCAGAAGUAAAAGUGAACAUUCAGAAAUCACUUGAAAAGUUAUUCACAAAUACAUAUUUUAUUCAUACUUUCAUUAAUGUUGGGUUGCAGGAGCAGCAGACUGAGCA
ensembl:lncRNA